UACGAAGGGGGCUAGCGUUGUUCGGAAUUACUGGGCGUAAAGCGCGUGUAGGCGGGUCUUUAAGUCAGAGGUGAAAUGCCAAGGCUCAACCUUGGAACUGCCUUUGAUACUGGAGAUCUUGAGUCCGGGAGAGGUGAGUGGAAUUGCGAGUGUAGAGGUGAAAUUCGUAGAUAUUCGCAAGAACACCAGUGGCGAAGGCGGCUCACUGGCCCGUAACUGACGCUGAGACGCGAAAGCGUGGGGAGCAAACAGG
rnacentral:rRNA from 1 species